AGCUUGCUCUUGGGCGUCGAGCGGCGGACGGGUGAGUAAUGCCUAGGAAUCUGCCUAUGUAGUGGGGGAUAACUGUCCGAAAGGAUGGCUAAUACCGCAUACGUCCUACGGGAGAAAGCAGGGGACUCUUCGGAGCCUUGCGCUAUUAGAUGAGCCUAGGUCGGAUUAGCUAGUUGGUGGGGUAAAGGCUCACCAAGGCUGCGAUCCGUAACUGGUCUGAGAGGAUGAUCAGUCACACUGGAACUGAGACACGGUCCAGACUCC
rnacentral:rRNA from 1 species